CCUACGGGCGACAGCAGUGGGGAAUAUUGGGCAAUGGGCGCAAGUCUGACCCAGCAACGCCGCGUGAAGGAAGAAGGCUUUCGGGUUGUAAAGUUCUUUUCUGAGGGACGAAGAAAGUGACGGUACCUUAGGAAUAAGCCACGGCUAACUACGUGCCAGCAGCCGCGGUAAUACGUAGGUGGCAAGCGUUAUCCGGAUUUAUUGGGUGUAAAGGGCGCGUAGGCGGGUAAGCAAGUCAGAUGUGAAACCCCGGGGCUCAACCCUGGGCCUGCUUUUGAAACUGUUUUUCUUGAGUGCAGGAGAGGCAAGCGGAAUUCCGAGUGUAGCGGUGAAAUGCGUAGAUAUAAGGAGGAACACCAGUGGCGAAGGCGGAUUGCUGGACAGUAACUGACGCUGAGGCACGAAAGCGUGGGGAGCAAACAGGAUUAGAUACCCCUGUAGUC
rnacentral:rRNA from 1 species